ACUCCUACGGGAGGCAGCAGUGAGGAAUAUUGGUCAAUGGAGGGAACUCUGAACCAGCCAUCCCGCGUGUAGGAAGACGGCCUUAUGGGUUGUAAACUACUUUUAUACAGGAAGAAACGUACCCUCGUGAGGGUGCCUGGACGGUACUGUGAGGAAUAAGCACCGGCUAAACGUCCAAGUGCCAGCCGAGCCGCCGGGUUCAAUACGGCAGGGGUAGCGAGGCGGUUAUCCGGAUUUAUUGGGUUUCGAAAUGGUGUAGCCGUAGGCGGGAUUAAUAAGUCAGUGGUGAAAUCCCAUCGCUUAACGAUGGAACUGCCAUUGAUACUGUUAGUCUUGAAUGAGGGUGCAGUGGUUGGAAUGUGUAGUGUAGCGGUGAAAUGCAUAGAUAUUACACAGAACACCGAUUGCGAAGGCAGAUCACUAACCCUAAAUUGACGCUGAGGGACGAAAGCGUGGGGAGCGAACAGGAUUAGAUACCCUGUAGGCUCUG
rnacentral:rRNA from 1 species